UACGUAGGCAGCGAGCGUUGUUCGGAAUUACUGGGCGGAAAGAGUGUGUAGGCGGCGCUCUAAGUUCGGUGUGAAAUCUCUCGGCUUAACUGGGAGGGUGCGCCGGAAACUGGAGUGCUCGAACGUGGGAGAGGAAAGCGGAAUUCCUGGUGUAGCGGUGAAAUGCGUAGAUAUCAGGAGGAACACCUGCGGUGUAGACGGCUUUCUGGACCAUUGUUGACGCUGAGACACGAAAGCGUGGGUAGCAAACAGG
rnacentral:rRNA from 1 species